AGAGAUUAAACUGAAGAGUUUGAUCCUGGCUCAGAUUGAACGCUGGCGGCAUGCCUUACACAUGCAAGUCGAACGGCAGCACGGAGCUUGCUCUGGUGGCGA
rnacentral:rRNA from 1 species